rnacentral:rRNA from 1 species
GACGAACGCUGGCGGCGUGCUUAACACAUGCAAGUCGAACGGAAAGGCCCUGCUUUUGUGGGGUGCUCGAGUGGCGAACGGGUGAGUAACACGUGAGUAACCUGCCCUUGACUUUGGGAUAACUUCAGGAAACUGGGGCUAAUACCGGAUAGGAGCUCCUGCUGCACGGUGGGGGUUGGAAAGUUUCGGCGGUUGGGGAUGGACUCGCGGCUUAUCAGCUUGUUGGUGGGGUAGUGGCUUACCAAGGCUUUGACGGGUAGCCGGCCUGAGAGGGUGACCGGCCACAUUGGGACUGAGAUACGGCCCAGACUCCUACGGGAGGCAGCAGUGGGGAAUAUUGCACAAUGGGCGGAAGCCUGAUGCAGCAACGCCGCGUGCGGGAUGACGGCCUCGGGUUGUAAACCGCUUUCGCCUGUGACGAAGCGUGAGUGACGGUAAUGGGUAAAGAAGCACCGGCUAACUACGUG